rnacentral:ncRNA from 2 species
UUUUUGUGUUAUGAAGAUGGUGAAAAUCCAUCGCUGUGCCCGCAACUGUAAAUGAAGUGAUAUUCAGUUUUCCGAUAAAUAUCGCCUCAAAGUCAGAUAGCUAACCAAAAA